GUCACGGCUGCGCUGGGAGAAGGUGGAGCUCAUGCCUCUCAGAUGGAAUGGCUGCACCGUGGCUGGGAGGAGGCCUGUUCCUGCCUCAGCCAUGCGUCCCCAGGGCCACGCCACACCUCUCUUGGCUGCUGGGUGCCAGUGGUUGACACUGGAGUGUGAUUGGACAGCCAAGCGGGCCAAGUGGACGGAGCCCUGAUGAAG
rnacentral:lncRNA from 1 species